rnacentral:tRNA from 1 species
GCUGUGAUGGCCGAGUGGUUAAGGCGUUUGACUAGAAAUCAAAUGGGAUCUUCCCGCGUAGGUUCGAAUCCUACUCAUAGCG